UACAGGGGGUGCAAACGUUGCUCGGAAUCAUUGGGCGUAAAGCGCACGUAGGCGGUCUGUUAUGUCGGAUGUGAAAGCCCUUGGCUCAACUGAGGAAGUGCAUCCGAAACUGGCAGGCUAGAGUACUAAAGAGGGUCGCGGAAUUCCUGGUGUAGCGGUGAAAUGCGCAGACUAUCAGGAGGAACACCGGUGGCGAAGGCGGGGUCUCUGGGUAGUAACUGACGCUGAGGAACGAAAGCGUGGGUAGCGAACAGG
rnacentral:rRNA from 1 species